GAUGUUUAACAGAGCAAAAAUGAACAUACAUAUAACAACUUACAAAAGGAGCUUCACAAAAUCAAGCCUGUAAGGUUUGAGUGAGGCUUGGUUCAUCCCUUUCGGUAAAUGGUAGUGUAACAUUAAAUCCAUAUAGAGGAAAAAAAA